GUCUUAGGGACUCGGCGUACCGCUCAGUAACACGUGGGUAACCUGCCCUAUGCUGGGGGAUAACCUCGGGAAACUGAGAAUAAUACCCCAUAGUUCACCACGCCUGGAACGGUGGGUGGAUGAAAGCUCCGGCGGCAUAGGAUGGGCCUGCGGCGUAUCAGGUUGUAGGGGGUGUAAUGUACCCUCUAGCCAUCUACGCGUACGGGUGUUGGGAGACAUCGCCCGGAGAUGGACUCUGAGACACGAAUCCAGACCCUACGGGGUGCAGCAGGCGCGAAAACUUGGCAAUGCGAGCAAUCGUGACCAGGGAACUCCAAGUGCAUCGGGUAAGACCGAUGCUUUUCUUGACUCUUCAAAGGUCUUGGAAUAAGGGGUGGGUAAGGACGGUGCCAGCCGCCGCGGUAAUACCGGCGCCUCAAGUGGUAGUCGCUUUUAUUGGGCCUAAAAC
rnacentral:rRNA from 1 species